rnacentral:rRNA from 1 species
UACGAAGGGGGCUAGCGUUGCUCGGAAUUACUGGGCGUAAAGCGCGUGUAGGCGGCUAAGUAAGUCGGGCGUGAAAUCCCACGGCUCAACCGUGGAAGUGCACUCGAAACUGCAUAGCUAGAGUCCUGGAGAGGAAGGUGGAAUGCUUGGUGUAGAGGUGAAAUUCGUAGAUAUCAAGCGGAACACCGGUGGCGAAGGCGGCCUUCUGGACAGUGACUGACGCUGAGAUGCGAAAGCGUGGGGAGCAAACAGG